rnacentral:rRNA from 1 species
CAAAGGUUUGGUCUUGACCUUGAGAUCACUUGUUACUCAACUCACACAUGCAAGUCUCCGCACCCCCGUGAAGACGCCCUCAGCACCCCACCCCGGAAUGAGGAGCCGGCAUCAGGCACAACAAUUUGCCCAAGACGCCUAGCUACGCCACCCCCACACGGGACUUCAGCAGUGACUAAUAUUGAAUAUUAGCGACAGCUUGAUUCAGUUAGAGUAAAGAGAGCCGGCCAAUCUGGUGCCAGCCGCCGCGGUUACACCACGUGGCUCAAACUGACCUCCGUCGGCGUAAAGCGUGAUUUAAGUGCCCACAAUAUUAGAGUCAAACCUGAGCUAAGCUGUGAUACGCUUGCUACACGGAAGUUCAGAAGCGAAAGCUAUCCUAACCCAAUCCGCUUGAACUCACGACAGCUGGGGCACAAACUGAGAUUAGAUACCCCACUAUGCCCAGCCG